GCAAGUGCGAGUAGGCGGUGCCCAGCGCUCCGCCGCCCCGCCCUCUGCGGAGGUGAUAACGACACUGAGCAGCGACGCGCACUUUUAGGACGUGCUUGUGACCCGCCUUUCGGAAGGAAGCGGCUAACUAUGGCGACCGCCACGGAGCAGUGGGUUCUGGUGGAGAUGGUACAGGCGCUUUACGAGGCUCCUGCUUACCAUCUUAUUUUGGAAGGGAUUCUGAUCCUCUGGAUAAUCAGACUUCUUUUCUCUAAGACUUACAAAUUACAAGAACGAUCUGAUCUUACAGUCAAGGAAAAAGAAGAACUGAUUGAAGAGUGGCAACCAGAACCUCUUGUUCCUCCUGUCCCAAAAGACCAUCCUGCUCUCAACUACAACAUGGUUUCAGGCCCUCCAAGCCACAAAAUUGUGGUGAAUGGAAAAGAAUGUAUAAACUUCGCCUCAUUUAAUUUUCUUGGAUUGUUGGAUAACCCUAGGGUUAAGGCAGCAGCUUUAGCAUCUCUAAAGAAGUAUGGCGUGGGGACUUGUGGACCCAGAGGAUUUUAUGGCACAUUUGAUGUUCAUUUGGAUUUGGAAGACCGCCUGGCAAAAUUUAUGAAGACAGAAGAAGCCAUUAUAUACUCAUAUGGAUUUGCCACCAUAGCCAGUGCUAUUCCUGCUUACUCUAAAAGAGGGGACAUUGUUUUUGUAGAUAGAGCUGCCUGCUUUGCUAUUCAGAAAGGAUUACAGGCAUCCCGUAGUGACAUUAAGUUAUUUAAGCAUAAUGACAUGGCUGACCUCGAGCGACUACUAAAAGAACAAGAGAUCGAAGAUCAAAAGAAUCCUCGCAAGGCUCGUGUAACUCGGCGUUUCAUUGUAGUAGAAGGAUUGUAUAUGAAUACUGGAACUAUUUGUCCUCUUCCAGAAUUGGUAAGCAACCAUGUUCAGCCGUAAUUUUAAUAUUUGGACUAUCUGACUGAUGUGCCUUUUGUUUAUGACCGCUUUUAGUGUAUGACGUCUGCGUUGCUUUGCACAUUAGGCCUCAUAAGCAUAUUUUGCUCAGAUCAGGGAAGAAGAACAACACUGAAUGCCAGUGCUGGCCUUCAAAGAGUAAUCAAGACUGCUCUGUUGCCCAGGCUGGAGUGCAGUGGUGUGAACACAGCUCACUGCAGCCUUACCCUCCUGGGCUCAAGUGAUCCUUCCACCUUAGCUUUCUGAGUUAGCUGGGACUACAGGCACAUGCCACCACACGUGGCUGAUUUUUCCCUUUUUUGUGGAGUAGGGGUCUCACUGCGUUACCCAGGCUGUUCUCAAACUCUUGGGCUCAAGCGAUCCUCCUGCCUCAGCCUGCCAAAGUGCUGGUAUUACAGGUAUGAGCCACCACACCUGGCCAAAACUUAGCUUUAGCUUUUUUUUUUUUUUUUCCCCCCCAAGACAGUCUUGCCCUGUCGUCAGGCUGGAGUGCAGUGGCGCCAUCUUGGCUCACUGCAACCUCCUCCCCCAGGAGAAUUGCUUGAACCCGGGAUGUGGAGGUUGCAGUGAGCCGAGAUCACACCAGUGCACUCCAGCCUGGGCAACAGAGCGAGACUCUGUCUCAAAAAAAAAAAAAAUAAUAAUAAUCUUUGUUUAAUCCAAAAUUAUCAAGAUUUAUUGCUAUGUUUCCCCCUAAGAGCUUAUAGUUUUCAGUCUUACAUUUAGGUCUGUAGUUCAUUUGAGUUCAUUUUUGCAUAUGUGUUGAUGAAGAGGUCCAAUUUUAUUCUUUCACAAGUGGUUAUCCAGUUUUGCCUGCAUCAUUUGUUGAAUGUUUCCCCAUUGACUGGUCUUGGCACCCUUGUUGAAAUUAAUUGACCAUAGAUGUAUGGGUUUAUUUCUAGACUCUAUUCUGUUUCAUUCUUCUAUAUAUCUGUCCUAUGCCAGUACCACACUGUGUCAAUUAUUGUAGCUUUGUAGUGAGUUUUGAAAUCAGGACAUGUGAGUUCAACUUUGUUCUUUUUCAAAAUUAUUUUAGCUAUUUGGGGUCUCUUGAAAUUCCAUUUGAAUUUUAGGAUUAGCUUUUCCAUUUCUGUAAAAAGUAUUGUUGGGAUUUUGGUGGGGAUUGCAUUGAAUUAUGUAGUCACAUUGGGAAGUAUUACCAUCUUAAUGAUAUUAAGUCUUCCAGUCCAUGAACUUGGGAUUUUUCCAUCUAUUUAGAUAUUUCCUUCAGCAAUGUUUUGUGAUUUUUAGUAUAUACGUCCUGCACCUCUUUGGUUAAAUUUAUCACUAAGUAUUUGAUUUUUUUAUUCUACUAUAAAUGGAAUUGUUUCCUUAAUUUCCUUUUUAGAUUGUUUACUGCUAUUUAUAGAAAUACAACAGAUAUUUGUGUAUUGCUUUUGCGUAAUGUAACUUCUGCUGAAUUUAUUAGCUCAAAUAAUACUUUUGUGGAUCUUAUUCUAUGUAUAAGAUUACACCAUCUGUGAAUAGAGAUAAUUUUACUUGUUUCUUUUCAAUUUGGAUGCCUUUUAUCUUUCUUGCCUGAUUGCCCUGGCUAGGACCUCGACUACAGUGUUGACUACAGGUGGCGAAAAUGAGCAUCUUUGUCUUGUUCCUGAUCUUACAAGGAAAGCUUUCAGUCUUCUACCAUUGAGUAUGAUGGUAGCUGUGAGUUUUUUAUAAUAACCUUUUAUCAGGUUGAGGAAGUUCCUUCCCAUUUUUAAUUUAUUGAGUGUUUUAUCAUGAGAGGUUGUUGGAUUUUGUCAAAUUUUUUUUCUGCAUUUAUUGGGAUGAUCAUGUGGGGUUUUUCCCCUACAUUCUUCUAACGUGUAUGUAAUACAUAUUUGAUUUUUCCAUGUUGAACCACCCUUGCAUUCGGCCAUUGAGAUUUUAAUGUAGGAGUCUAUUAAUUGAAUAAGGAUUCAAAAUAAGGGUUCCAUAUGUUAUUUUUAAAUGUUUUCAUUAUUUCUGAGGAAAUCUAAAUAUAUUUUAAGUAUCAAUAGAAGAGAUGUAUUUGUUUUCUUCUUUUUGUUUUUGUAAGAGUGUCAAUGGUUCAUAGAAUAAUGGGAGGGAGGUAGUGAACCAGAAGAUACUAGGAUGUAUAUUAUAGGGCUACAGUAAUGAAGCAGUGCUGAUGGACAGAUACGAAACUAAAGAUGAAGUAUAGGAACAGCUCAAGUGUAGAUAAGCACUGAAGCUGGGCAUGGUGGCUCACACCUUCAAUCCCAACACUUUGGGUGGCGGAGGUAGGAGAAUCACUGGAGCCCAGGAGGUCAAGGCUGCAGUGAGCCAUGAUCCUGCCACUGCACUCUAGCCUGGGUGGCAGAGCAAGACUCUGUCUCAAAAAAAUAAAAAUAAAAAAAAAAUCAGUAUUGUGCUGUCUGUUGUUAAGUGAAUCAUUUUAGACCAUCUAAAGGACAAUUGAUUCUCAUCAUUCACCCUACUUAUAUUCUAUAAAGUUGCCAUGAACACUGGAAUAAGAAAUACUAAACUAUUGCUGCUAGGGCAAAUAAUAGGGUUAGGUUCCUCUGAGCCUCUGGUUACAACAUUUUCAUCAACCAGUUGACACAAAACUUGCUUUAUGUGUAUUUUUGUUUAAAGGUGUCUUAUUUAAUGUCUGUUGAUUCAUUGCACUACAACUCAUGCCUGAACAAAGCUUCUCUAACACACAGAUUUUCUCCAUAAGGGACAUCACAGCACUAGGAGUAAUAGACGGCACUUUAGCAUGACACUUGGGGGCUACUCUAAAUAGCAAAAUCACCAACAAAAAGCACAGAAGUCCAAAAAAGUGGCAAUAAAUAGGCCAUGAAAAGGGUAGUUGUUCACAGGAUCAGAGCUGAAACAGUCGCCUGUUCACCCUCACCUGGGAAAACACGUGUCAGGUAAUUCAAAUUCUUCACUGCUUUGCACAUGCACAUAUCUGUGAUGACAGGAAAAAAGUAUUGAUAUGGAGGUUGCAAAUAAGUUUUAAUAAGUAGAUGAAUUUGCACAUAUAGAAUUCACAAGUAUUGAGAGUCAGCUGUACAUACUUUUUAAUCUUAAUUUUUUUCUUCAUAAUAUGUUCUAUAUGGUGCUAAUCAUUAGUAUUUUAACGUUUAUA